UCUAGCAUGCAUUUGCUGACAGCCACUUGAGGGAGACUCACAUCAGGAGAUGCAGCAUAUCGGAGGUCUUCCCUGACUUUCCAACAAAUGCACACCACCUGCCGCCGGUCUGGACACAAAACGACGGCCACAAUCGAUGGCCCAAAACGCCCAACUACAGGAUUAAAUUGUUGGUCAUAUUCACUGAGUGAUGCCAGAUAGAUGAGAGCAUUCACAUUCUCAAAGCAGUGGAUCCACUUUUUUCGCUCCGAUUUCUGUCCCCCAACAUCCACCAUCCUAGACAUUUAUGGGGGAAAUGUGUGUAUUAUAAGGACUAUUGCAAUGCACAGGAGCGGUUCUUGGCGCAGGCAAGCAGUGCCUGCACCCGAGGUGCUGCGGCCUGCGGGUGCAGUCACCCCACAGGCGCCUGCCGCCUACCCGCACCCCACCCCCCGGCUGAUAUAUGGUAUUCGGAGGGUCUCCAUAGCUCCCACCAGAGACUGGGCACAGGUGACAAUGUUCUGAUGUACAAGUUGUGCAUACA